rnacentral:rRNA from 1 species
GUCCACGCUGUAAACGAUGGAUACUAGCUGUUGGGAGUAAUCUCGGUGGCUAAGCGAAAGUGAUAAGUAUCCCACCUGGGGAGUACGAACGCAAGUUUGAAACUCAAAGGAAUUGACGGGGGCCCGCACAAGCGGUGGAGCAUGUGGUUUAAUUCGAUGAUACGCGAGGAACCUUACCAAGACUUAAAUGUGUGAUGACGAUUCUGGAGACAGGAUUUUCGCAAGACAUCAUACAAGGUGCUGCAUGGUUGUCGU